rnacentral:rRNA from 1 species
CACGUAGGGCGCAAGCGUUGUCCGGAAUUAUUGGGCGUAAAGAGCUCGUAGGCGGCCUGUUGCGUCCGCUGUGAAAGCCCGGGGCUUAACCCCGGGCCGGCAGUGGAUACGGGCAGGCUAGAGGUAGGUAGGGGAGAAUGGAAUUCCCGGUGUAGCGGUGAAAUGCGCAGAUAUCGGGAGGAACACCGGUGGCGAAGGCGGUUCCCUGGGCCUUACCUGACGCUGAGGAGCGAAAGCGUGGGGAUCAAACAGG